UGGGGAAUAUUGGACAAUGGGGGGAACCCUGAUCCAGCCAUGCCGCGUGUGUGAAGAAGGCCUUAUGGUUGUAAAGCACUUUAAGCGAGGAGGAGGGUACUGGUAUUAAUACUACCAGGUACUGGACGUUACUCGCAGAAUAAGCACCGGCUAACUCUGUGCCAGCAGCCGCGGUAAUACAGAGGGUGCGAGCGUUAAUCGGAUUUACUGGGCGUAAAGCGUGCGUAGGCGGCUAAUUGAGUCGGAUGUGAAAUCCCCGAGCUUAACUUGGGAGUUGCGUUGGAUACUGGUUAGCUAGAGUGUGGGAGAGGAUGGUAGAAUUCCAGGUGUAGCGGUGAAAUGCGUAGAGAUCUGGAGGAAUACCGAUGGCGAAGGCAGCCAUCUGGCCUAACACUGACGCUGAGGUACGAAAGCAUGGGGAGCAAACAGG
rnacentral:rRNA from 1 species